AUUGAACGCUGGCGGCAGGCCUAACACAUGCAAGUCGAGCGAGCGGCGGACGGGUGAGUAAUGUAUGGGGACUGCCCGUUAGAGGGGGAUAACUACUGGAAACGGUCGCUAAUAACGCAUACUAUCGGAUAACCCAUAUGGGAUGAGCUAGUGGGGGGGGUAAAGGCUCACCUAGGCGACGAUCUCUAGCUGGUCUGAGAGGCUGAUGAGCCACACUGGAAGUAGGACACGGCCCAGAUCCCUACGGAGGCAGCAGUGGGCAAUAUUGGAAAAGGGGCGCAAUCCGGAUGCAGCCAUGCCGGGUGUGUGAAGAAGGGCUUAGGGUUGUAAAGUACUUUCAGCGGGGAGGCGUUACCCGAAGAGGAAGCGCCGGCUAACUCCGUGCCAGCAGCCGCGGUAAUAC
rnacentral:rRNA from 1 species